rnacentral:rRNA from 1 species
AGUGGCAGACGGGUGAGUAACAUGUAGGUAUCUGCCCUUUGGCCUGGAAUAACACGAGGAAACUUGUGCUAAUACCGGAUAAGUCUUUACGGAGAAAGCUUUAUGCACCAUUGGAUGAGCCUGCACUUGAUUAGUUUGUUGGUGGGGUAAUGGCCUACCAAGACUGUGAUCAAUAGCUGAUUUGAGAGGAUGAUCAGCCACAUUGGGACUGAGACACGGCCCAAACUCCUACGGGAGGCAGCAGUGGGGAAUCUUGCACAAUGGAGGAAACUCUGAUGCAGCGAUGCCGCGUGAGUGAAGAAGGCCCUUGGGUUGUAAAGCUCUUUCGUCGGGGAAGAAAAUGACUGUACCCGAAUAAGAAGGUCCGGCUAACUUCGUGCCAGCAGCCGCGGUAAUACGAAGGGACCUAGCGUAGUUCGGAAUUACUGGGCUUAAAGAGUUCGUAGGUGGUUGAAAAAGUUAGUGGUGAAAUCCCAGAGCUUAACUCUGGAACUGCCAUUAAAACUUUUCAGCUAGAGUAUGAUAGAGGAAAGCAGAAUUUCUAGUGUAGAGGUGAAAUUCGUAGAUAUUAGAAAGAAUACCAAUUGCGAAGGCAGCUUUCUGGAUCAUUACUGACACUGAGGAACGAAAGCAUGGGUAGCGAAGAGGAUUAGAUACCCUCGUAGUCCAUGCCGUAAACGAUGUGUGUUAGACGUUGGAAAUUUAUUUUCAGUGUCGCAGGGAAACCGAUAAC